GACGAACGCUGGCGGCGUGCUUAACACAUGCAAGUCGAACGGAAAGGCCCUGCUGUUGUGGGGUGCUCGAGUGGCGAACGGGUGAGUAACACGUGAAUAACCUGCCCUUGACUUUGGGAUAACUUCAGGAAACUGGGGCUAAUACCGGAUAGGAGCUCCUGCUGCAUGGUGGGGGUUGGAAAGUUUCGGCGGUUGGGGAUGGACUCGCGGCUUAUCAGCUUGUUGGUGGGGUAGUGGCUUACCAAGGCUUUGACGGGUAGCCGGCCUGAGAGGGUGACCGGCGACAUUGGGACUGAGAUACGGCCCAGACUCCUACGGGAGGCAGCAGUGGGGAAUAUUGCACAAUGGGCGGAAGCCUGAUGCAGCAACGCCGCGUGAGGGAUGACGGCCUUCGGGUUGUAAACCGCUUUCGCCUGUGACGCAGCGUGAGUGACGGUAAUGGGUAAAGAAGCACCGGCUAACUACGUG
rnacentral:rRNA from 1 species